AAUGGAUCUGUUCAAAUCAAAUGAACUGAAUGAAAUAACAACUGGAAAAUUGGUUCCAAUUGAAUCUAGUGAAAUGUUACCUGAGCCAAUUUUGUCACAAUCAAAUCACUCUCAUCACCAUCAAAUUCAACAACCAUCGUUAGUUUGUCCAAAUGGAAGUGUCUAUAUGAGUGGAUCAUCACCUGGAGUUGAAUCUAAUUACUUUCCUAAUCAAUGUAAUGGUUUUACGGUGUCCAAAGUGAUCAUAUCUUCAUCAACUUCACCGACCACUCCAUCACCGAGUCCAACCUCAACACCAACCACAAUUGAACAAACAUCUUCCCCAUCUCCGUCUGUAACAACAGCCUCAUCGGUAUCACCGUCAACAACAACGGUGACAAGUUCAAUAACAACAUUACCACCUUCACUUGUAAAUGAAGGAAUCAAUUCACCAACAACUCACAAUAAUUUAAAUAACCAAAGCUCAAUCAAUUCAAUAUCAUACUCAUUUCAUCGCAAUGGGUCGAUGGAUAUUCACCCAAAUCAUCCAAUUACUAAUACAUCCAAUAUUCACAGUGCUUAUACUCAUUCACAUCAUCAUCUUAAUUCUCAUAAUUAUCAACAGCAACAAUCACAGGCCCCACCACAGCAACAUAAUUCAGCCGUUUCCAUCACUGAUCAAAACUAUUUAACGCAUAACAAUUCACCAAUAAAUCACUCAAAUAACGGUAAUACAGCUCUUGUCAAUACAAACUCUAAUAGCGGCUAUAAUAAUCAUGGCCCUAGUUUUUCCGUUGCCCAAUCAACGGGACUAUUUCCAACCUCAAUGAGUGUCAAUUUAUCAAUGAACAUGACAAUGGGUUUUGCAACUUCAGCUUCAGCCGCCGCAGCUGCAGCCGCAGCGGCAGCAGCAGCUUCUAAUCAACCAAUCAUAUGGUCAAAUACACCUUCUUCAUCGCCAUCUUCACCGUCUAUUGUUUCAACACCUCAAAGCUACGGAAUCGCCAAUGGACUUACGAAUGGAAUCACUAAUGGAGUUCCUAAUGGUGUCAUUAAUGGAGUAUCUGGUAAUACUUCUGGUGGUGGUGGAACUGCUGUUAACUUGAACUUGUCUCCAUCGCCUAAUCAAGCUCGUCCAGGUUUUUCAUCAUUACCAACUCAUUGUCCUGUCACGGGUUCACCUAUUAUCACACCUAAUGCCAUCAACAAUUUAACUGUUUUCCCAUCGACCGGUUUCUAUGAUGCUAGUCCAUACAGUCCACCUUAUCCAGUCGCUUUGUCGCCAAACUCAUUCGAAGCUUCUCUCCAUCAUCAUCAUCAUCACCAUCACCACACUCAUCCAAGUCAACAUCAAGUCUAUUCUAAUCACCAUCAAUAUCCUCCUAAUGAAUCUCGUUCUCAUCUAGAUAAUUUAAUUUUAUCAAAUCAUCCAAACCAGCAAGGACAUCAGCAACUGCACAAUCUAAACCAUCAAAUUCAUCAUCCACACAACCAUCACCAUCAUCACCACCAAACAUCUCAAGAGUCUCAUCAUUCAAAUCAUCAUCAUUUGACUUCACACCACCAAGUCACACCAUCAUCUAUAAACCAACAGCUCUCAGCAGUUGGUAAACAUUAUGACGACGAUGAACUAAUCAACAACAACAAUCUUAACGUUAACGGUAACAAUGAUGAUCAAAUGGAGGACAAUAUUGACGAUGACGAAGAAGACGAAGAUGAAGAUGAUAUCGAUGGAGACAAUUUGCGAAAUGUAACAAUUUUAACCAACACCAGUAACAAUAUGCGUUCAAUUUCACCCUUAAGUGAGCGAUCUCAAAAUGAAAUGGCAGAUAGUCAUCAUCACCACCACCAUGGCCAUCCUCAUCAUUCUCACCAUAGGUACAACUCUUACCAACGUAAAGGUAAAAUUGCUCAAGAAUUGGCAGCUCUUCAAGAGAUAUCUCAAGAAUCUGAUGAAACCAUUUACGGUAAAGGUUCAGCUUCAUCAUCAUCGUCAUCGAACAACAAUAUCAAUUCAGGUUCUUCAUCGCCUAACUUGUGUCGCAUUUGCGGUAAAACGUAUGCUCGUCCUUCAACCCUUAAAACACAUCUGCGAACCCAUUCGGGAGAAAGACCUUACAGGUUUCAAUCAUCUCCAUCAUUUUGUUAUAGGACUCGAGUUGAUCAGUUUUUAGUUACAUUUAUUUGUUUCUUAUAGGACCAAAUUAAAGAAUCAAAAUAAAGUUCAAACUGUUGAGGUUGAUCAUUCCUAAUAUCAGUAAAUCUCUACCUUUUUAUAUACAAUUAGUUGAUUUGAUUAAAGCUGAUAUAAUCAAGGCUGAAUUAAGUUUCAAUCAAUAUGUUUGGUUAGAUAUAUAAAUUAACCGGUUUUUAUGUUCUAAUAUUUCUUUGUUAAUUCAAUUUCUAAAAGAUUUUGGUCACCAUUUAUGUGUAGCACAUGUAAUAAAUCGUUUUCUCAGGCUGCUAACUUAACGGCUCAUAUACGAACGCACAGUGGAGAGAAGCCAUUCCGUUGUCCUGUUUGUGAUCGUCGAUUCUCUCAAAGUUCAUCUGUAACCACUCAUAUGAGAACCCACUCAGGUGAAAGGCCAUAUCGAUGUUGUAUGUGUAAAAAAGCCUUUUCCGAUUCCUCAACAUUAACUAAACACCUUCGUAUUCACAGUGGUGAGAAACCAUAUCAAUGUAAAUUAUGUUUACUCCGAUUUUCUCAGUCUGGUAAUCUCAAUAGACACAUGAGAAUUCAUUCCAAUAUUACUUAAUGAUUGUAACUGUUUGCUUUACUGUUGGUUAACAGUAUACAACAAUUUAUCAAUUUAGUACUAUCAACUACUAUCAUACUAAACAGUAACC